GCCUACGGGGGGCAGCAGGGAGGAAUAUUGCACAACGGGAGAAAUCCAGGUGCAGCAACGCCGCGUGAGUGAAGAAGGCCUUCGGGUUGUAAAACUCUUUUCUGUGGGAUGAGAACGGACAGUACCACAGGAAUAAGUCUCGGCUAACUACGUGCCAGCAGCCGCGGUAAGACGUAGGAGGCGAGCGUUAUCCGGAUUUACUGGGCGUAAAGGGCAAGUAGGCGGUAUACCAAGUCAGUUGUGACAGAUCCCGGCUCAACUGGGAGCGGACGAUUGAGACUGGUAAGCUAGAGGACAGGAGAGGGGAGCGGAAUUCCUUGUGUAGCGGUGGAAUGCUCAGAUACAAGGAGGAACACCAGUGGCGAAGGCGGCUCUCUGGCCUGCUCCUGACGCUGAAGAGCGAAAGCUAGGGGAGCGAACGGGCUUAGAUACCCCGGUAGU
rnacentral:rRNA from 1 species